UAUUGAAGUUGAGCAGCUAUCAGGUGACAGUGAAACUGAUUCCCUACAGAAGCCACCAGACCACCAGAAGAGCCCGUUUCAUCCAAAUUCAACUGCCUCGGUCAGGUCUAAUAUUGAGGGAGGAGAUCCAGUGAAGAAGAUCCAAUGAUUCCAGUAGAUGACGAGCCUCCCAGCGUGAGUUCCAGGAACCCGGAUCUACAUUGCCGCUGAAUCAGCCGAAUGAACUAUCUGCUUUGAGAUGGAGGUGAACCUGACCAGCUCAGCCUCCACGGUGGACCACACUGGGAGACCUCACAUGUUAUCUACGCCCAUCAGACACCCAUUCAGCCAGAGGGUCCUUCAAGCGUGCAAUUUCUACAACACAGCCCGAGACAGACUGCAUGCCAUAUGACCAGUCAACAAAGAAGUGAGACAGAUAAGUGUACCUCUGCACAAAUUCCCUUUUACAAUCAGUGAAACUGCAUUACACAGAGGUGACUCAGUGAACAUUUGCUACAAAGGAGGUGUUGGCGCCAAGUCUGCUGGAAUACUACGUGUGUUACUCACACCACAGCUGCUGAGAUUAAUCUUCACCGUCUGAUCCAAGAGUUUAAAAAAAGCAUGUUAAGUUAAAAACAAAAAGA